CACUAUUAAAAAUGAAAUCAACUAAAGGCAAGUGAUAAGGACAAGUAAAGGUCGAGGAGAGACUAGAGAGCGUGGCCAGUUUUGGUCUUUAUAAUUUGUGUAACUUUUGUGUGUCAUUUCACGAUCUUUCACCGACCGGAUAACAUUAUUAAAUAGAAAGAGAUAUCUACACUUUUCUAGAGUUACACAUAUUCAAAGGUAAGAAUAAUCAUAUCAUAUCAUCUCAUCAUUUGGGCACAUUCAACCAAAUACGCUCAAUUCUUCCCGAAAGCAAGGAGUGGAGUACCAAUUCAAAAAAAGACAAAAACAAAAAAUGGAGAGUAUCUUAGAAACAAACAACUGCUAGAUUCGAUCAAGAGAUUAAGAAUUGGAGCAAAUAUAUAAUCUGAUCUCAUAUAACUACCAUUUCGUCUUUAGUGUAUAAGAUAUGUGUGUGAUUUUCAAAAAGAAAUAAUAAGUUUAAAAAAAAAAAAAA
rnacentral:lncRNA from 1 species